UACGUAGGUGGCAAGCGUUGUUCGGAAUGACUGGGCGUAAAGGGCGCGUAGGCGGUUUGUACAGUCAGGUGUGAAAUUCCCGGGCUCAACCGUGGGGCUGCACUUGAUACGUAUGGACUGGAGUGGGGAAGAGGGUCGUGGAAUUCCCAGUGUAGAGGUGAAAUUCGUAGAUAUUCGCAAGAACACCAGUGGCGAAGGCGGCUCACUGGCCCGAUACUGACGCUGAGGUGGCGAAAGCGUGGGGAGCAAACAGG
rnacentral:rRNA from 1 species